GGGGAUAACUCCUGGAAACGGUAGCUAAUACCGCAUAACGUCGCAAGACCAAAGAGGGGGACCUUCGGGCCUCUUGCCAUCGGAUGUGCCCAGAUGGGAUUAGCUUGUUGGUGGGGUAACGGCUCACCAAGGCGACGAUCCCUAGCUGGUCUGAGAGGAUGACCAGCCACACUGGAACUGAGACACGGUCCAGACUCCUACGGGAGGCAGCAGUGGGGAAUAUUGCACAAUGGGCGCAAGCCUGAUGCAGCCAUGCCGCGUGUAUGAAGAAGGCCUUCGGGUUGUAAAGUACUUUCAGCGGGGAGGAAGGGAGUAAAGUUAAUACCUUUGCUCAUUGACGUUACCCGCAGAAGAAGCACCGGCUAACUCCGUGCCAGCAGCCGCGGUAAUACGGAGGGUGCAAGCGUUAAUCGGAAUUACUGGGCGUAAAGCGCACGCAGGCGGUUUGUUAAGUCAGAUGUGAAAUCCCCGGGCUCAACCUGGGAACUGCAUCUGAUACUGGCAAGCUUGAGUCUCGUAGAGGGGGGUAGAAUUCCAGGUGUAGCGGUGAAAUGCGUAGAGAUCUGGAGGAAUACCGGUGGCGAAGGCGGCCCCCUGGACGAAGACUGACGCCCAGGUGCGAAAGCGUGGGGAGCAAACAGGAUUAGAUACCCU
rnacentral:rRNA from 1 species